rnacentral:tRNA from 1 species
UCCCCCAUAGCUCAAUUGGCAGAGCGACUGACUGUUAAUCAGUAGGUUCCUGGUUCGAGUCCAGGUGGGGGAGCCA